AUUCCAGCUCCAAUAGCGUAUAUUAAUGUUGUUGCAGUUAAAAAGCUCGUAGUUGGAUUUCUACCUAUUUUGCCCGUUCCGGAUGAUAUUCAUCUUUCGGUAAUGGAGCUGAAGUGGGUAUCCUAUCAUGAAGUUGCGGCCUCGUGUCGUCGCUGAGUGGUUCUUUUACUUUGAAAAAAUUAGAGUGUUUAAAGCAGGCUUGCGCAAGAAUACAUUAGCAUGGAAUAAUAACACAGGACUUUGGUCUCUAUUUUGUUGGUUUCUAGGACUAAAGUAAUGACUGAUAGGGAUAGUUGGGGGUGCUAGUAUUGAGCGGCCAGAGGUGAAAUUCUUAGAUUCGCUCAAGACUAACUUAUGCGAAAGCAUUCACCAAGGAUGUCUUCAUCA
rnacentral:rRNA from 1 species